rnacentral:rRNA from 1 species
CGCAUCUGUGCAUGCAGCAUAUCAAUAAGGCGGAGGAAAAGAAACUAACAAGGAUUCCCCUAGUAACGGCGAGUGAAGCGGGAAGAGCUCAAAUUUGAAAUCUUAAAGGGUUUCCCUUUACGAAUUGUAGUUUAAAGAAGUGUUUUCUGUUGAGGUUUUGGUAAAAGUUCUUUGGAAUAGGACAUCAUAGAGGGUGAGAAUCCCGUAUUUGACCUUUACUUUCAACUUUGUGAUACACUUUCAAAGAGUCGGAUUGUUUGGGAAUGCAGUCCAAAAUGGGUCGGUAAAUUUCAUCUAAAGCUAAAUAUUGGCGAGAGACCGAUAGCGAACAAGUACCGUGAGGGAAAGAUGAAAAGAACUUUGAAAAGAGAGUUAAACAGUACGUGAAAUUGUCAAAAGGGAAGCGUUUGACACCAGUGUUGUUUUUCUGAAAAUCAAUUAAAGAACUGUUUAUGCUAAGUUGUUUAGACUUUAUCAGCUAACUGUUUAGUUUUGAGCUUUUCUUUAAUGCACUUUUCAGUUAACAAGUCAACAUCAAUUUCUUUUGCUGUAAAAAAGCUUGAGGAAGGUGGCUUGAGAUUCGUCUUAAGUGUUUAUAGCCUCUUGCCUAUGCAGUCGGAGAGAUUGAGGUCUGCAGCGUAGAUCCUUCGGGGCUAAAUGCAUUUGUGCUAAGUUAUAGCAUUUUAUAGACAACUUGUUGACUAUGAUUUGUCUUGUAGCUUACUCGCUUAUGUUAUUUUACCUACGCUUAGGAUGUUGACAGCAGUAUAGACUGU